UACGUAGGGGGCAAGCGUUGUCCGGAAUCAUUGGGCGUAAAGCGCGUGUAGGCGGUUCGAUAAGUCUGCUGUGAAAGUCCAGGGCUCAACCCUGGGAUGCCGGUGGAUACUGUCGGGCUAGAGUACGGAAGAGGCGAGUGGAAUUCCCGGUGUAGCGGUGAAAUGCGCAGAUAUCGGGAGGAACACCAAUUGCGAAGGCAGCCCGCUGGGACGUCACUGACGCUGAGACGCGAAAGCGUGGGGAGCAAACAGG
rnacentral:rRNA from 1 species